CCGUUCUUUGGGACUGAAAGUUCCUGGCUCGGACACUAUGAUGUCACAUGUGCAUUUUCCUUCUCGGUGCUUCCAUUAAUAAGACUAUUUAAAACCUCCAACCACUGGAGAAAGCAGAAAGAGCUUGGCCUCAGCCGUUAGCCCACCUCUGCUGCCAAGCAGUGUUGCAGCCCUGAGGGAGGAACUGUCCUCAUCUGUGCUGAAGGAGAGUCCCAGCAGGGGCCCCCAGGUCCUGCCAGCCUGAAGGCGCCACCACGGUAGAAACUCCACAAACCCUCUCAGGGUGAGAUCUGUAAAGUGAACUCACUAUAAAGUGAACUCCCACCAAGUCUAGCAUUGCUGAACUCCUCAACUGCAGUGCUUUGACUCUUUCAGGUUUCCACAAAGAUAUUCCAGAAUCCUUUUUUUUUAAUUAUAUAAAUGCUAUAGCAAAAUAGAAAAAAAAAAGAAGAAGAAGAAGAAGAGAAGGAGCCGGAACCAGGUGUAUGCACCUCUCUUCUGUUUCUGCAUCCUUUCACUCCUGGUGUGGCGCGUGGACCAGCAGCAUUGAUAUCACCUAAUCUUUUGAAGAGCCUGUAAUGGCACUAGAAAAAUGCUUACUGGAGUCAUGGAUGACAGUGACUGAAAGCAGCCCAGCUGGUGUCCCCGCGACCCUCCGUGUGACUAGAGAGAAACACUGAUUCAUAGGAAGCACCGGUGGGCACUGGAAAGCCCGGGUUCCCCUUGUCUUCCACUUCCACCACUCAGAAGAGUUUUCUCGAAAACUGACCAAAUCAUCCAGCAAAAGAUGCAGCCUCAGACUUUCAGCCUAGACACUGAUCCCCUCAUCUGGUUGAAUGUGUCGAGGUAACUAAGAAUAGCUUGGACCAAGCAGGGCAUGUUUCUAAAGCUGCAAUUGUGGCAAUGACCACAACUCCUGUUAUCGGGCCGUGCAGUUCCGCACAAUAUCCGGCACAGCUGUGGGCUCUGGCAGCAGCCAGCCUAGCGCUGGCGGCUUAAUUAGGCUUUUUAUCUUUACAUUUGUCUGAGGACAUCUGAAACCUUCAGUGUGGCCUGUCACUAAUUAGGUGACUAAUUAAAUAGUCAGUGCUUCCUUGCUGAUCUCAGAGCUCAACCGCAAUGGACAGGUUUGUGAUUGUGACUCCCCGUCCUGUCGGUCUCUGCACGUGUGCGCCUCGCAAUUGCCCUGUUCAUUGCGCUGUGCAAAAACGGCAUGGGAGCGAGGCCCAGGGCAUGUGCAGGGCCGUCCUCCGAUGUGCCCAAGCAGCAGGCAGCACGGACAUCCACAGGGGGGCAUAUGGGAGAUGGACAUCCACAGGGCAUACGGGACAUCAGUUCUGGUGCAGAGGCUGGUCUGGUGGCCAGAGCAGAGGGGACGGUGGAAGGAGCUUUACCUGCCAGGCUCAGAGUCUCAGUCUCCCCAGGCAGCAAGAGUUGACAUUCUGCCACCAGAGAAUAAGGAUCCAGAACUCACCCUGGUGUCACUAAUCACAAUGGGGUUUCCUAUUCGACUCCAAUAUUUAAAUGUAAUUAAUGUUAAAUAAAAGCACCUUCAUUUACUGAAA